rnacentral:rRNA from 1 species
GACGAGCCACACAAACGUUAUUCGGAAUCACUGGGCUUAAAGGGUGCGUAGGCGGCGCGGAAAGUUGGGUGUGAAAUCCCUCAGCUUAACUGAGGAACUGCGCUCAAAACUACCGUGCUUGAGGGAGAUAGAGGAGUGCGGAACUUACGGUGGAGCGGUGAAAUGCGUUGAUAUCGUAGGGAACACCGGUGGCGAAAGCGGCACUCUGGAUCUCUUCUGACGCUGAGGCACGAAAGCUAGGGUAGCAAACGGG